rnacentral:rRNA from 1 species
ACGUUGAUAGGCCGGGUGUGGAAGCGCAGCGAUUCGUUUAGCUAACCGGUACUAAUGAAGCGGGAGGCUUAACCUUACAACGCCGAAG